UCUAACCUUAAAUGCCUUGUUAGCCAAAAUAAAAAAAUACAUGUCUAAUGUUUUUCGAUGUACUGCAAAGUUUCAAGAAGAUCAGCGUGUGGCACUUAGAUAGUGUUAUUUGUGAGUAUAGCACUGCAAUCAGUGAAAUCGCUGAAAGAAUCGACUGAUAGCGGCGACUGUUCCCAUCAUUGAUGCAAUUUGCAAACAGGCAGUACACGCAAAUCACAUUGAAGUUGUUGAGGUAAAAGCGCCAAUGCCAGGACGCUAACACCAUUGGUGCCUGACUCUGGACAUUUUUAUUAUUUUAGUCUUUAAACAUAAAUAUUUUAACUUUCAAUAGAAUAUAUAUAUUCUACGCAAAAAGUUUACAUAUUCGUAUUUAAGAAUCAAAAUAACAAGAAUAUACAGAGUUUUACUUUUACCUUAAUUUUUCACUACCACAAACGCAAAAAGUUGGAUUUAAAGUUAUUAUCGUUAACAUUAUAAUAGGAUUGAAUAAAGAAUAGUUUCCUCGACCGCAAUAAUUUACAGCGAUUAUUUCUCUAUACGACUAUAGUUGAAAAUAUACGAACAACUUUUUUUCUCAAUGUGUAAUUUAAUCAGAAACAUUUUUACCGAUGCACUUUGAGAGAGGGAGAAAGAAAUUUCUCGCGUUGUUUUGCACAUAUAUACACACACACACACACACACACACACACUUGAUUCGCGAAAUCGUGAGCGCGAACGCUUUGGGAAACUUGAUACGGCCAGGAGCGGCUAUUUUGAAUUCGGCAUGCUUCGUGCAAGCUCAUCGAUCGAAGGCCACCUGGGCGGUAUCAGGAAAAGCGAACGUCAAAAGAAUUCGGUGACAUCGGCCGCGAAGCGACAUGCUUUUCUGCGGGAUGAUGUACGCGGACGAAAGCGGUCAGCCUGCUACAGCUCGAGCACGCUCGUAUUUUUAAACGAAUUACCUCACCGACGCAUUUUCGUUUUCGCGCUAACAAACACUGACACGUGGACGGUGCGCGUCUUGUUCUCGAGAUUCGUCGGUUCGAGCUUCUCGGCACACAACGUGCCUCGUCUUGCAUUCUCCGAGCGGUCGAAAAAGCGAUCGACGGCAUGCACCGCGGUUCUACCGCCGUUUGGAGAAACGACGGCGACUUGGCGUGACGUAAAUCCGUAAGGCGUGAUGCAAAUCAAUCCUCAAUCGGCGGCGGGAUGGAAAAUCGGCCGUGGAAAUUAUUUAAUUGGAGGCUUAACCCGGUCUACGACAUAAUCCGCGGCUAUUAGUGGCAUCUGAGUGCGUGGAUUAUCAAUAUGUACGCAAAUACAAUUUCAUCGAAACUAAUCCGCCGUUAAUACGGCCCCCGUGCGGAGGAACCGCUGGUGCAUUUUAAUUCAUUAAUGCGUGUAGUCUCGCGCACAGGGAGAAUAGAGUGAAGGAUGGCUUCUCGUGCGCCAUUCACGGACAAUUAAGUGCUCGCGGUUGUGUGAUAAAUCGCCGCCAAAGGCCGUGCUUGCUCUUACGACGCGAAAUGCAAGCGCGAUGCAUCGCGUCUGGUGCUUCUUCAUUUUUCGUCGCGCGAAACGAGCGGGACUGUAGAGCACCUAUUAAAAUGCAAAGCCCGGAAAAUUCUCUCGUAAAAUUUUACCUUCACGUUACGCUCAUUGAGAAGAAACUUACCGAAAGCAUCGAGUUCUCUCAUUCCCCUCUCUCUCUCUCUCUCUUUCUCUCUCACACUUACUCUCUCUUGUCCUUCGUCUAUCUCUUCUUUUCCUCUCUUCUAAACGAUAUAAAUAAUUGAGGGUCGUACGGUACCAGUCACAUGGCGUUGAUUUCUUGAAUACGCGCCAGGCACUCGACGUGGAUUUGAACAGAUUCGAUUGAAGGGCUCGGAGCAGACGCAGAGAGACAGAGAGAGAGAGAGAGAGAGAGAGAGAGAGAGAGAGAGAGAGAGAGGAGGGCCAAUAUACAUUCCUUCCAUGCGCCGAGAGCUCCGGAACUCGCAGAAUUCCUAAGCGUUCCGCAAUCCGAAAAUUCCCCGAGCUCAAUCGUGUAUCUCCGUCCUUCGGAGUCGCUGGAAUAUCGGCGAAUCGGCGGGCCAAGUCGAAGACUGAAGAAACGAGCGUCGCGCGGCAAUCCUCCCCCGCCGAUAUGUUUCAACGAAACGCGGGAUAUCAAUCGCCGGUCCGGCGAAAAAUGAACAGCCCCGCGUUGACCCCGCAAGAAUUCGCCGCGCGCUCGAGCUCAUCAAAUGGCAGUACAUCAUCCUCAUUCCCGCGCUUUCCCCCCGGCCCCUCUCCCUCGUCAAUUACGGAACAGCUCGAUCUCGAGACGACGAGAUCGACGGCGGAAUGUGCGGCGGGUUAAUAUCCGUUGUCGGGCUGGGCGAGAACACGGCGUCUGGUUUGUGUGAUGCCGAUAAUUUAGGGGGCGUCGACGGGGUUCUCUCGCGCCUCUUCCGUCACCUCGUGAACGCCCGACAGCUAGUCGACUUUCGUAGCGCGAGCUUGGCGAAUCGAAUUGAAUCGUUGCCGUUCGUAAGAUCGUUUAUUGCCCGCGAUCGCGACGAGUUAAGAAUCGAUCUAGACACUCGGGCGCGCUGUGGACGACGAUAUUUUCGCAACGCGGCCUGAGAGGGAGGGAGAGAGAGAGAGAGAGAGAGAGAGAGAAAAAAGAAAGAGAGAUAGAUGGACGGUGCGUGUGUGGUUGGUGAACUGCCAGUCACUCUUGCUUCUCGUGCGUGUUCUCCCGUGAAUUGGGUGGAUUUUCCGAUCAAUCCGAGCGAUCGCGAUGUAAUCAGAGUAACAGAGAGGAUAGUUGGGCGAGAUUGCAUCACUUUGCUUAAUUACAAUGGCGCCAAUUGAGGAGGAGAGCAGGCGCGGCCGUGCAACGAGUUGCCUGACCUUUCCAUUACGUUCCCCGGGAAAAGAUAAGCUACCUCCCUCCCUUUGGUCAUUUUGCGCAUUCGGUAUUAUCGUUCCAUCAUUAUUCUGUUAACUGCACGCUCUCGCGUGUUUCUUUGAAAAAAAAAAUAUUUCAGCCCCGAUAUAAAGCGCCACCUGACACGGGGGAUUUUUUUUUAAAUUAUUUUUAUAAGACUCCUCCUAUUGAGCGCUUUAAGCGAGGCCGAAUAUUCAUGCGAUAUCGACGCUGGGCGUCGAAUGGACUUCGUGGCUGGGAUAUCGGAUAUUGCAUAAAUAUCCGCGGAACGUGACUAUUCAAACUAGAUUUAUAUGGAUAUUUGUACGGGGCGUCGAUGUUACUGUAAUGGAUCGUGCAUGGCGAUCGACUCCGGCUUGAAAAAUACACACACCGGUGCGACAAACGAGCUUUGCGCGCAGCAAGCUUUAUCGACUACUUUGCGGAGGAAGGAAGGGAAUCGCGCGAAUCGCUCUCGAAAUAUCGUAUUGUUCAAUUAGGAGACUGUCAAUUUCUCGACACCGGAUAUUAACUCUGACGGUCGUUUAUUUUGUGCAUUGCACGUGAGAUAGAAAUGGGAAAGCCCCCACACUGAGAAGAAUAAUUGAAAUAAUUGAAUUAAUGAGACUUUUCGCUUGAACCAACAAAAUUCAUUCCAACAGACGUUUGGUUGACUAAACGAAUCAUAGGGUUGCUAGGAGACGAGUUAUGUCAAUUGAUUCAAUGAUCGCGGUUUGGUUAAUAAACAUAUCAAUACAACUUAUCGUUGUACUAAUUCGUUAAAUAAUUCGUUCAAUAGAUACAAUAUUUCUCAUAAAGAGCCGGGUAACCGCCGAUUUCACCGAUGUAACUGCAUUUUUUCUCAGUGCGGACAUGCGCUUAAUGUGAGACGUUGUUUGGUCCUUAAAUACAGAUAUUGAAACUUUUAACUUGUAAAUCCUCUUUUCUCGAAAGGUAGCUUACUCGUACAAUAGAGAGAGCGUUGAAAGUGAGUCGAAUUUUGCACCAAUACGCCUGGAAGGCGCUCGGUGUUACUCUCAGAAAGUAUCGAUUUAAUCCGAGUAUAAGCGAGCCACACGAAUAACUGAAGAAAAUCCGAGUAAGAACCUACCGAAUAUUCGCGGCCAGACAUGACAAAAUGCGACGAGUAGACGAUGUCGCGCGUAAUUGCCGCUUUAAAGGGAGGAAAUCACGGACGGACAAGGGGACGCUAGUCAACAAGGAGGACGCUGACGUUUAUAUCGGGAUCUAUUUUUCCUGCCCCGGGGCAGUGAGCUUAAUUGCUUUUCUCCCGUGCGCCUUCUAAUUAAGUCUUCAAUGUCCCGCGAGGCGAAGAACUGGUCGAAUGCAUAAUGCAUUUCAGGGGGACCGACGUCCUUUCUUGCUGUCUCCUUUGAAUCCCUCAUCGCGACUUUCCUUCAUCCUCGCUGUUCUCGCGAGUCCGCGGCUAAUGGCCGAAGUUCGCCGUCGUCGUUUCGACGAUGCCGGUGCAUUCUCGAUUGAAUUAUAAUUAAUGCCAUGCGCCAUGCGCGCCUCGGCGCCGUGAACUAACAACAGCCGGAGAAACUUGCGAGGCGCUCCCGGAGACGCGGGAAUGAUCGAUCGCGAAUAAUCACUGUGCGUCUUCGCUCUGUCUGUCGCGCCUCGCACGACUGUUUUUCCGUGACAUCCGGACAAUCCCCGAUAUUAGACGCGCGUCUCUCCACAAUCGCGUCGAUUUACGCGAGGGACUUUCCCCUCGUGAAAAAAAAUUUGCCUCGGCGCAAUUAAUACGACUUUAACAAAUGGUCCGGUGAAAAGAGGAGAAAUUUCCGCUAGCUAGCUGGCUAACUAUACAUUCGUGAAAGCGCGAAGACUCGAUUACGAGGGAAACACAAAAAAGUUGGACGCACGAUAUUUUUGUUUAAUUUGUGGAAUUACUCCAAUUAUCCUGCUCCCAUUUUCCCUUCCUCCGCCCUCUCUCUUUCUCUCUCUGUCUCUCUUUCUCUCUCUUCGCUGUGAACUUAUUUAUUAUUACUUAGAAGAAAGAAUAGAGAUUAAUGGCUCGCAGUCACGGUGUGACUGAAAUCGGACCGUUCAGGCGAAUUUAUAUAACGAUUCGCUAAUAUAUCUAUGUCUCAGUGAAAUGUAUUUAUAUAUUGCCGUUAUCUUUGCUACACGACUGGCGAUAUCGAGGUGGGUGUCGGAUUUAUCGCCGGGGCGGUGUGUGAUUACGAACAUCCAGCUAAAUCACAAUCACACGCUGCCUCGAGCGACCACUACGGUGCAAUUCACUUCGCGAUUUUAUAUAUAUAUAUAUACACACAUAUAUGCGCGCGCGUGUGUGAGCGUGUACGAAUGUAGCGCUCGCGGAAAUAGAUUCCGAAACGAAAACUAAAAGAUCCUCUCGAAGCGGGACCGUCGUGGAGCGCGUACGUCGAGCCGCAUGCCGCUCACGUACGCUGAAAGUGUUGACUACCUGGAAAUCCCUUCGACGAGGCCGUUACAUCUCUUAUGCAUACGCAAUUCUCGCGGGCGGAAUCUACCUCCUCUUCCUCGCAUAAAUACCACUGACGUGUGGUCUACGCGCCGUCAAAGAGGUCACGACGGUUCCGCGUUUUGAACGACGCGCGAUACCCGAUCGAGGGAACACGCGGCCUCGAAAAAAAUACGCGCGGGGUUUACUCGAUAAAUAUCGAAUGCGAGAGAUACGCGCAGACCGACGCGAUGGUUGCAGCACUUUUUAGGUCGAGUCAGCUCGGAUUUCCGAUCGCACACUGACCGACAUAUUCGCGCAUCGCGACUGUCGACUAACUGUCGAGGGAAACGUCAACGAUACCCGCCGUAUUAUUCGCGGUAGCGUUUCUCCAUUCUUUCUUCUCUUCUCCCCCUUUAGAAAAUAGCGCCGCGGCGCUUGAGAAAUUUCGCGUCGCGAUAUGUAAAUGCAUAACCAGCUUCGCGCGGGACGUCUCCCAUUUCCAUUCGGAUCCCGUCGGGGGUUGAUAGGGCCGUAACUUAUUUCUGGCAAGUACUUUUUUGCGAAAGUUCGCGCGCUCGUCGCCGAGUGCAUUAUGCAUGCUCGGACUUUGUUACGCUCCUCGCUCUUUGUAACCGAUUGUUGCACGUGCGCGACGGGAGUUCCGGCGCGCAAAAUUUCGCGUCUUAUUCGGAUGAUUCCGCGUCGCGGAACGGAGAAAGACCGAUUCGCAGCGAACGGCUGUCCGUCCGAGGGCGACGUCUUUGUGCGUAACGGUACGCUUUAUUGCGUGAUAAUCACAUAAUGGCACGAAUUGGCCGCGUCAAUUAAAGCUGGCACGAAGCCGUCGUGCUGAAUUCUUUGUCCGCUCGGCAGUCAGUCACGAGGCGAGGCCGAGGGAAUUAUUUAUCCACUGCAAUAGCCUCUCCUCGAAGCGAACAACUCCGCAACGUCGACAUGGAAUUCGGUUAACCGCGAAUCCACAAGGUAAACGUGCCAAUGCCUGAACGCUAAUAACACUGGUACCUAUCUCUGGACGUUUUCAUUGUUUUGAUCCUUAAAUACGAAUAUUUUACCGUAAUUCUACAAGAAUCAUUCAAUCCACAUGAAGUUUCGAGAAAAAUGAAGAUGAAAAUUUCGUGAGUGAUUUACGAAAUAUAGAUAGCGUUGAGGUCCUUCGCAAUUGUUCAAGAAACCAAGUAUGAUAAAUUUUCUUCUCUUUAAGGGUAUUUAUUGAUAAGCAUAACAUUUAAAAACUGAGUAAAAAGACGCAACUGAUAAUUUAGAGAUUCAAGUAAAUAUGUAAAUAUUAGUACCCACCAAGUAAAAAUUUACUGUUCCUUAGAUAUUUUUCUCUCAGUGUAUUUUACGUUGUGUAAAAGUUUAAAUACACGUAUUUAGGAACCAAAACAGCGUUUGUGAUGCCAAUGUUAUUAGUGUCCAGCUAUCGGUACUCUUAUAUGUUACCGAGGAAGUGCUCGGAGAAAAAAGAAGCGCGCUUCAAAGCGCGGUGUAUUGCGUCGACGGUCGCGGGGGAUAGACGGAAGUCUCGGCGGUUUCCGGCACCGUUAGAUCGAUUUGUUCUCACAGUUAUGCAAAGGCGGCGUAACGGUUGGGAAAUGCGCGGAAAAAAAUGGCAUCGAUUUCAUCGUUGAAGCAGCGGCUCGAUCGGACGCACUCGGGAGUAUUCAAUUUUUCGGUCUGUCGCGCCGCGUGAUUGCCGUGCUUCUCCUCCGAGAAGUAUAAAAUCGAUUCGGAAACGCCGAUGCAACCUUGUAUAAUCGGUUACGAGGGUACUUCCGCACACGCGCGCAUCAAGCUUUCCCCGAAUUCGACGAGAGUUACGCAAGCGCGAUGACGAGAAUCAUCUUUGCGACGAAAUAGACUCGUCAGAGGCACAGACUUCUAUAUAAUAUCUAGACUGCUAAAUAGGUAUAGUUUAGUUAAGGAUUAUUUGGUCGGAAAAAUAUCGCCCGCCAUCCUUGAAAGGACCUCACAUACCUGAGUGGCAAUGUAUGAGUGGGAGGAAGCAAUAUGCUAUAGUGCGUAUCAUUACUACUCCCAUAUGAUACGGUUCUUUUAAAGAUGGCCGCUCGAUAUUUUUCCAACCACUCGCUAAAUACGGCUAUUAGCAAGUUUAUUACGGCUAUUAGCUAGUUUAUAUAUAGAAGUUUGUGGUCAGAGGACGCUGCACUGAGAGAAAAAUAUAGUUGUCUCUUUGGCGUCAGCUAUACUCUUUUGUGAUUUUAACCACAAAAAUAGUUAGAAAAACCAUCAUUUUAGUAAGUGUCAUUAGAAAAAUGGUUCUUCUAAUUAUUUUUUUGGUUAAAAUCACAAAAAAGUAUAGUUGACGUCAAAGACACCUAUAUUUUUCUCUCAGUGUGGUCGCGCUCUCUUAAAGACGAUCAUUCGCACAUAUUUUUCUCGAUAUUUUCGCCGAGUCGCAUGAAAAUUCGAAUGGCGAGAAUUAACUUAUCGGAUUAACAAACACUCGAUCUCGCCAAAUUCCGCUGAUCCGCCGAAUUCUUCUCGAUUAUCCCGGCUGAUCCUGAAAUGUCGCGUUCAGGACGAUCGUGGUGCGUAUUAUGCGCGCAUUUUUCGCGGAGAGUGCGCGAAUGGCCGCGGGUGGCUCUGCCAGUCGCUGUUCUCGCGAUCGCUUAUUACCCUCUCCUGUGCCGCGCACAGAGUCGGUCACGAUGAUCUUCAACCGGUCGCCUCGACCGCCCUUCUCCCCGCAUCAUCUCGUCGGAUUUUUCCUCGCUUUUCUUGCCGUGUUCUCUCAUCUCUGUACGCUAUUAUUCCGCGUUUCUCGAGAGCAAUUCCCUCCAUAGCUUCCUUCGUUUCGCGUCGGUUUUUUUAGUUUGUCGUAUGGCGAAACUUAGAAAGACUCGACAAGAUCGAAAGAAAUCGCGACGUGACGUCCCUCAGCGUCACUACAACAUCCCGAGAACUGCGUCGGCGAGAUGUAAAAUCCUAUAUAAAAAAUAUAAUCUCAUUCUUGACGGAAUCCUCUUAUAUAUAUGUUACGUUACGGUUAUGUUGCACUAGCUUAAACUGGCGUUGUUCGAGAUUCUUACAUCUAGAACAAAUCUAAAUUAAUUAAAAUGUCUAAAUUAAAUUAUCACAUAGUCAAGGGGACGAAAUCAGGUGAUGGUGGUGAGAUGUGCAGGUAAACUAUAUUUUUCUAGAUAAUAACACAAUGUAAAAUAUGAUAAAAAAGGGAUAUUCUACUAAAACCAAAAGGAAAAUAUCCCAGUACUUCACAAAAAAGAACUCUGGUCGCAAGUUGUUAUUUCUAACUUUUUUUAGAAUUUAAUAUUUGCUUUAAUAUAAGUUGAGUUUUUUGUGAGGUUAUUUUUCUGUUUGUAUAAAAAACUGGAGAUAAUAAUAAAUAAUUUUCUAUAUUCACGCGAAGAGAGAGGUAAGUUUGUUUGUUCUGACAUGAAAUUCGCGCUUGUUACAAACGAGUCAACGCGUAUUGGUUGAAGGAAACGGAAUUUUUUAUUCUCAGAAUCAAACUUGGGUCAUAAGAAAUCUUGUGUCUUUCGAGCAAAACGCGUUGGUUUGUUUAUCAAACUUCAUGUCAAUGCAAUCAAAGUUUCCCUGCGGAAACUGUUACCGGAGGAGUAUAUUUCCCUUUUAAUGUUAUGCCUGGAAUAUCUUUUCCCUAGUUUUAGAAUAAUUCUCUUGAGGUCAAGAGGAUUCCGUUCACGGAUGCGAUUGUAUUAUUUUGGCUGCGAGAGAGAUACAUUGACGACGACUAAAUUGAUAUUCCUCAAUGUGAUCACUUCGUCCGCGAGCGAACGACAAUUUCGUCGACGUUCUGUUUAUUCGCGUACACAGGACGAUCUAUUAAUAAAGAGUUCGGUACAAGUUGCCGCGAAAUACCUCGGAAAGUUCCUCUCAGACGUGGCUAGUGACUCGCGUCGGCUGGUAAUGAAGCGAAGCGCCCUAAGUUUUGUCGCGACGUAGGUAGUUGGGAGAAGUCGUGUCUCGCAUAGUUAAAAGUUUCAAAGACGCUUACGUACAGCGUGGAAUUCCGUUUGAUAGUCGGGUCCUACCACCUCGAGCGUUUCGCGCGGUUGCUCGCUCGCUCGCUCGUUCACUCGUCUGUCGGUAACUUGGCUUUCUGCCUCUCACAGUGACAGGCUUCGCUUUGCCGUCGGUACGAUAGCGGAUACUUGACUCGUCAUAGCGCCCGAGGGGCAGUGUGAUUAUAGUCUAAUGACAACAAGAUCGGAGGACGAAGGUACGCCGAGUCAAAUGCUUUCUCUGUCACGCGAGGUACUCCAGGAGGGCGACGUAUACUGAAAGAAAAAUUAUAUUAAAGUCAACAAAUAUUUCCUUGAUGAGUACCAUUAACAUACUUAAAUCUACAUUCUCUUUAUUUAAACCUAAUAUUGUUUAUUUAAAUCAGGUAAACGAUAUUUGGCAAUUAUGUAGAAUAAGGACUUUUCCGAAUUUUGAUAUUUUUUGCUGCAAUCUUGAUAAAUAUCUUUGUUGUUAUUCCAACAGUGAUAAUCAAAUGGGGGAGCCUAAAAAAUAUGUAAACUAUCUAUUUUUAACUAUUUUUUCUAACAUAUGCUUGUAGAAUAUCAUAUCCCUUAAGGUUUAAGACUGAAAUUGCAACAAAGUACUGAAAAGAUUAGAACAUUUAUUUAUUAGUGACAAACACUACUUUAUUGGUAAUAUAAAAAAAUAAUUUUUACAAAAAUAAAUAUUGAAUUUUUGUUUAAAUUGGAGACCGGGUCUUCAAAUUGUACAUUGGGUUUUUAAAUCGUAUUUUAAAGAUAUGCAGUCAUAAACAAUAAAAAAGUAUUAAUUAAUUAUUAAUUAACGCCAUAUUACAGUAAUAUAACAAUAAAACAAAACAAAAAUAAAAGUACGUAAGUAAUACAACUAGUAUCAUCCAUUUUACUAUAUAACACAAAUAUUGCUUGAAACAACAUGUUUCAACAACAUUUUUAACCGAUUUGGCUAAUUCUUUUAUUAUGAAUCAUGCCUGUUUCAUUUGUCACCGCGGUUUUCUUCGUCAUCGCGGUUUAAUUCAUUAUCGAGCGCAAUGAUUUAAAAAAUCUGAAGGUUUUAGCCGUCGCUCAUUGUUUGUUAAAAAAUUAUUAACAAAGAAAGUAUGAAUGUAACGCAAUUUUUCAAGACAGUCCUAUAAAAUACACACUUUUCCUUUCACUUUUGUGAAAAAUUCUCACUCUUUAGCUUAAGUACAACAGACUUGGCUCCCUCCCGACCGCGGUACGGGGGUCUGGGGGGCGUAGCCCCCCAGUUACACGGCUAAUGACAGGCUUCUUCAUGCAUCUUUUUUAUUAAUAUCUCGGAAACUGUAAGCGACCGCCAUAUAGCUAUGUUUAUAUUAUUGAAAUAUGAUAAAAAAUAAAAAAGGUGCCUGUCUCUAGCCGUGUAACUGGGGGACUACGCCCUUCAGACUCCCCGUAUCGCGGGGGAGGGGGGGGGGCGCAAAUCUGUUGUAUUUUAGCUAAAGUUACUUAACUUAAAGUUACUUAACUUAAAGUUUAACAAUCGCAAAUUAAAAUGGAGAUGCCACAAACCUCGAAAAGCUACGUAGAGAGAAAUAAUUAAAAACAUUGAAAGGUUACGUACUUUUCGGCUCCCCCAUUUGAUUAUCAAUGUUGGAAUAACAACAAAGAUAUUUAUCAAGAUUGCAGCAAAAAAAUAUCAAAAUUCGGAAAAAUCCUUAUUCUACAUAAUUACCCCAUAUAUUUGAUUUAAAUAAAAGAUAAUGCAGAUUUAAGUAAAUAUGUUAAUGGCAUCCAUCAAGGAAAUAUUUGUUGAUUUUAAUGUAAUUUUUCUCUCAGUGUAGGAGAAACAAAAAAAGAUAGAGAAAGAAAGUGAAAGAAAGAUAGAGGAUGCUUUGAUUACACACGAUCGAUUCUCCUUCAUAAUUUUUUUUCUACCAAGUGGACAAUUAUCCAAGAAAAGCAUCUGACUCUCUACUAUCCUCCUUUACUAAUCCUGACUUCAUCCCUCUUGCAGCAAUGGUCAGUCUAUUUCGUACGGCUUGAGCGGGAUGAGAAAGCGCGAAGAAAGGGUGUAAGAGACAUUUAUUGCGAAUAAAACGGUUGAGUGAUUUACUUUUAGAUACUUUUGGUACUUCUGAUACAUCGAUCAUAAAUAAUUUCUACUGAACGGUCGUGUUCACCGAAUGUAGUCAUUUUUCAAUCGAGCAACCGCGAUAGGACGUUGCGUCUUGUUGUGGCCGCGUGCCAGUUCGCGCGGUGUAAACAGAAUGGAGUCGUUUGCGGGCGGUGGGAAAUCGGGUCGCCGUCCAUCUCAGCGCGCACCACCCUCCGUUCGCCCCCGAUCGCGAAAUCCAAACAGCGUCGCGGGGAAGGUCAGCCGGGAAAGCUCCCUUGUUGUUCUGCUGCAGACGAAAAGUCUGGCGCCGAUGUGACGGCGAUGCGACGACAACUACGCGGAUGCAUCCCGUCCAGGGAUGCUAGCUAGCCUCAGUGCUCGUUCUCCUCUUACGCGCUGUGCACCGUCUCUUCUCCAUCUGGCUCUCCUCCUCAAGUCUCAGCGUCCUCGAGUCUCAGCCCGCGUCUCUGCGAACAGUUCUCAUUUCGCGAAAUCCAACGCACCGGAUCUUGUUAUCCCGCGGACGGCUCGCUCACCUUGCGAGACUCUUCGGCGAAUAGAAGGAACGAAAUAUCAUACGAACGGUGACUUGUUUGAGGCGAGCAUUCCUGCGAAAAGCACGAGCGACAUCACAUACACGUCGUUUAGUUUUAGCGGACUAGAGGAAUCGAAAGAGACUCUGAAUGUAACAUAAAGGGAUGCGGUAGUUUUCCGCCUUAUAUAUCGUUCCGGGCGACACGCCAGGAAGACGUACAACGUUCGACGGUCGCUGCGACGAUAAAAGUUCUUUCGGCCGACAAAGGGCUGAAACAGACCUUUUUCACCGGUGCUUUCACGUUCCGCGGUAGCGUUCUGUCAACUGCGGCGGUACCGAGCGAGAAAGUCUCCUCGAGAUGUUGAAGUUUCGAGCAUCCGGCCAACGGAAGUGCGGCGGCACGGUGAGAAUCUUAAGCGUCUGUGACUGAAAUCUCAGCGAGGAGAUGUCGAAGAAAAGUUAAUUCUUCACCGCGGAAAAAAAUUUGGGAGAUCGCGGUGACGUUCGUCACGUUCUCUUAUUAAAGUAUAUACGGGGAGAUUUUGCGUGGGCUCUUCAACUAUGUGCUAACUCUUCUUUUAGGAAUUUUUGCAUGCAAAGCCAAAGUUUGGAAUAUUCACUUUCGGAAUAGUUUGAGAGUGUUUUCUGAGUUUAAAGCUAUCUGAAUAUCUUGUCCCAGAUAUUUCAUGGCGCUACACAAAGUCUCGCGGCACUAUGCGUUGACCAUGUAUUUCAUCGCGUCCGAGUUCGCGGUAAUUUGCCGUCAUAACUUCGCCUGUGCAGUCGCUUUCGGACAGCGUCGCGCGUCGACGUCUGGGAAGUUGCCUGCCUCCAGGUGCAUCGAGAGACCACAGCGGUUCUCAGCCGUUUUUUCGUGCACGAAACUCGCUCGUCAUCGGCUAUAUCACAUCGUAUCGAUUUGAAACGUCAAAGCGAUCACAGACUACAACUUUUAGACGCAAAAGCUCUAAAUUUCUUGUUGGAAUUUCACGAAAAACUUAUUGUUAUUAUUUUAUUGUAAAGUCUCAAUAAUUGACUAAUUAUUUUUUUAGGACACAAACUAGCAACAAUAUUCGGAAAUUUAUA